CACAAAUCAUACUGUACCUGUAACUAGGACCAAAAACAGGACCCAACAUUCUGUGUACAGUUUGAUAAGCAGAAUGUAUUUAUUAUUGAAAACAUAAAUAUAUAAAUUAUAAUCAUUGCUGUUUUUAUCCAAUAGAGGCCCAAAUAAAAAAUCCUAUUAGCCUGUGUUGUUGCAGUUUCUUUAGUUACUGUAAGCAAUGGUCCCUGGUCUAUUGACAAUGAAUGAAUAAAUGAAUGCAUUGCAAAAUGGUGGUGAAACUUCUUCUGAUUUCCUUUAUACAUAUAGCACCAAUGGAAUCACCUUGGAAGUCUGUAUAGUGCAGUUGAAGAUGUUGUUACCACAACACAAAGCAGCUGCAGAUACAGUCAUCUAUUUUCUCUCAACAUGUCUCUCACCCAGGACUUCAUAAAGUGCUGAUCUAGGAUCAGUUUAGUUGUUUAGAUCAUAAUGAAUAAGAUGAACAGCACUCCUACUCUGAGACAUUUAGUGCUGAUCUAGGAUCAGUUUAGCUGUUUAGAUCAUAAUGAAUAAGAUGAACAGCACUCCUACUCUGAGACAUUUUGGAAAAGUGCCCAGGUCUUUCUAUUGAUUCAGUGUGUGCCAAACGACAACCUAUUCCCGAUGUAGCGCACUAAUUUUGGCCAGUGGCUCUGGUCUAAAGUAGUGCACUGCAAUCUACGGGAAAUAGGGUGUUGUUAGAGAUUUGGUGUCAGUCUCUCCAUAAACAGUGGUAUCUUCUUUUUCGAUCUUUCACUCAUCAACAGUGGAACAGUCUUCAUCGUUGUUAACGUGUCAACAGUGGAACAGUCUUCCUCGUUGUUAACGUGUCAACAGUGGAACAGUCUUCCUCGUUGUUAACGUGUCAACAGUGGAACAGUCUUCAUCGUUGUUAACGUGUCAACAGUGGAACAGUCUUCAUCGUUGUUAACGUGUCAAUGGAAGACUGCUGCUUGAUUAACUAGGAAACCAUCCAUGUUGGUUUGUUCACAAACUCUCUCUCAUUCAAGAUGGACUUUGUACUCGUUAAGAACAGCUUGUGUGCUGGUGGGGCGGACUGGGUACCAUCUUAUCAAAGGAGUGUGAUGUGGGUUAAAAGUGGUUUCACACACACAUUUAUGUGCACACACACACACACACAUGCUGAACGUGUGUGUUCUGUUGUGUAUAAUGGCGCUCUGGUUACUGGGUGUAACUUUUGGCUAGAUAACUGGGUUAAAGAGACACAGUCCAACGAUGCCCCAGAUUGAGUCUUCCUCAGCCAGCUCUGCACUAACCUGAUCUCAGAUCGGUUUGUGCUGUCUUGCCAAUGACUAUAUGUGUUUGGAGGACAACACAAACUGAUCUGGGACCAGGUUAGCUCUAUCCAGCGCUCUAGAUAAUACAGUACAGCACUGCUGAUGUAAGGCUGCCCUACACCACCAAACAGGGUGCAUUGCUGGGGACUUAUACAUUUCCUCACCCCCAUUCCUGCAUCGUUUCCAUGGAUUAAAUAAAAGCCUUCAACCACAACAAACAAAGAAAUAACAAACAUACUUCCUACUUGAAUAUAAGUAAGCAUAAUAUAUUUUCUUAACAAAAAUAAAGCAUCUUCCUGUACUUGUACAGACUCUGUCCUCCCCAUCUCCUCCUCGCCACGCUUCCUUACAUUUCCAGCCCAUACAACUAGACUUGAGACUGUUCAGAUAAUAUACUGGCACAUAAUAAGACAACAUUGAACAUGCGUAACAACUACAUGAACAUGUGGACAUGAAGAUUCACUACCAGAGGAUCAGACAGAACAUGACUCUUACAUGUCACAGAAAACAUAACAAUGUCUUGGAGGGAGAGAGAGAGAAAUGAAAACGUUUACACGUAUAAAUAGUUUAUUAGUAGCAAUGAAUGAAUCUUCCUUUCUGAAUCGUUCUGUAGUGUAUAUGGCGACUGGCACAAUCCCAAUAGGAGCAGAUAGGGAAACCCAAGAGAGAGAGAAGCAGAGAAGCCGCUUGGAACAACAGGUCCUGAUGAUUGCAAACACUUUUCCCAACACUUUAUCCAAAAGAAACAAAAUGGGCAACCAUUUUAUGAGUUCCAGAAUGUUCACAAGUUCCACUACAGUUUACAGAGAGUUCCGGAACAACAAGUAACACGACCAGUACCUUCUACACCUCUCUACAACUUCUCUCAACAUCUCUUUCCCUCUCUCCCUCUCUUUUUCUCUCUGUCAGUCAUUGACUGUCCAGGCAAGUGUCACUUAGGCCAACGGCUAGGAACAUGCAAGCCUCCACACGUCCCAAAGAGUUCACUGAUUGUCCCUCUCUGUGUCCUUUUAGGAUCCAGUCAACAGAUCCCCCAUCAAGGCUUAAUCCAAUGAUCCAUCCUGGAUCUCUCUCUGUGAUCGUCAAACUGUCCUGUUUACCCAAACAAACGACAACCCAUCUUGUCCUCCUCUUCUCUUUUCUGCCCAGGUCUUUAUCGCCUUCACCAUCCUCAUCCGCAUCACUGUUCGAUUGGUUGGUUCUGCUGCACUUGACAGAGACCUUCUGCAUUACUUUUUACGGUAAUAGAAAAAAGCACCUUUGGCAUUUUAUUAACUUUUUCUCUUUUUUUCUCUUUACAGUAAUCUUUGUUUUUAAAAGGCGGUAGGUGGGGUGGGGUCAGGGAAGGGGGUAGGUCAGCAGUCCAAAUAUGGCAGCAUCCUCUCUUUGGCCCCUUCCACACUGAAGUCCAAUGCUGCUGGGGUCUCACCUUAUGUCCACUGUGGAGAUGAGAGAGAGAGAGAGAGCUGACAUUAACAUUUAGCAUUUCAUUAGCAUUAGCCUGAUCAUUACUAUUACCAUUAGCUUUAGCAUUACCAUUACCCCCAUAAUUACUAUUACCAUUAGCUUUAGCAUUAGCAUUUCAUUAAUCCCCAUAUUAUUUGAACAUGUUAGAGGUAAAAGGUGAUAUUCAUUCCCCAUUUUGUUCAAUUUGAACGUGUGUCAUAAAGAGAGAGGGACAGACGGACGGACGGAACGACGGACGGAACGAUGGACGGAACACUGGACAGACAGACAGGCAGACGGAACAUUGGACAGACGGGCAGACGGACAGACAGACAGACAGACAGACAGACAGACAGACAGACAGACAGACAGACAGACAGACAGACAGACAGACAGACAGACAGACAGACAGACAGACAGAGACGAGACAGUCAGAACAUUGGACAGACAGACAGACAGACAGACAGACAGACAGACAGACAGACAGACAGACAGACAGACAGACAGACAGACAGACAGAGACGAGACAGUCAGAACAUUGGACAGACAGACAGACAGAGAUGAGACGAGACAGUCAGAACAUUGGACAGACAGACAGACAGAGAUGAGACGAGACAGUCAGAACAUUGGACAGACAGACAGACAGACAGACAGACAGAGAUGAGACAGGACAAAUGGACAGAGAGGAUGAGAGAGAAAGAUAAAGGACAUGAAAUACAGGGGAGAGCAUGGGAAGUAGAGACCAUGUAGAAUGGUAUUUGAAAUCAGAUACACACAGAGACACAGAGACAGCUGGAGUGAAGGACAAAUACUGGUCGGUGAACAAGGUGAGGUUGAAAUACUCAUUCAUAAACUCAUACAGGCAUAAAAACACAACACAAAGAGGAUAUGCAGUGUGCAGGCAGGCAUAAAAAUCACACUAAAUCAUGCAGCGGCAUUCACAGAGCGUGGCCCAUUUCAGCCCUCCCUCUCCUCGCACUGAUUGGGUGUGGUGUUGAUUGUGAUCUGAUUGGCAAACCUUUCUCUGUCCUGAUUGGGCUUGUGACCAGCAGGUGGGUAAUUGGUUGGAUUGCCAUGCUGGUGCUAAAGUCCUCCUACCUGUUGGAGCCGGGGGGUCCGGCGGCCGGACUUUGGAAUAAUGUGUUCAAGUUUAUUAUGUCGCCAAUAAAUCCUUGUUGAGCUUUAGCUUUUUAGCUUUCCUUUUUCUACCUUUAGCCCUAGUAUGGUGGCCUGAAAACACAAGUUGGGGAGGGAGGAUAGGAGGACAAGGACAAGGGUUAGCAAGAGGGGGAAGCAGCAAGGUUUACGACACAAAGAGCAGAAAGCAGAGGAGAUAAAAAGCCUCCAUGACAGAGAGAGAAUUCAAGAGGAUUUGAAAUGACACUAUAAAAAGUUGAGAUGCCUCAGUCCACAUUGUCUCUUCCCAACGGAGGCUUUGGAUCAAGGGGAAAGGAUUGUUACCUGCCGUCCAAGCCAAGCCAAGCAGCCUUUGGACACCCUCCCUUUACACGCAUGCAUGCACGCACACACACACACACACACACACACAGACAAACAAACACCCUCACACACACACUGACACUGUCUUUCUAUCAGACACACACAAGGGGCCUUGCAGGUUUGGCAAUAGAAGUCUAGCUUGCAGGCGUGUCUGUUUUCCCAACAGUGAUAUACAAGAGGUCAUGCAGUGCAAGCUAGAGAGCCAGCAGGCAGGCAGGUAGGCAGGAAGACAGACAGACAGACAGACAGACAGACAGACAGACAGACAGACAGACAGACAGACAGACAGACAGACAGACAGACAGACAGACAGACAGACAGACAGACAGACAGACAGACAGACAGACAGACAGACUAGCAGUAUAAAAAGACCAGGCGUAGGAAGGAAUGACUGAAUGGGGCGGGACUCAGAUACUCAGACAUCCAACCAAACAGUCUGUGAAGGCCAUCUACGCUCCAAUAAAGUUGUGAUAAAUUCAGUCGGCCUUAACAUUAUUUACCUGUGUCUGCGUCUGAGUGCUCGGUCACGUGAUGUUGUGACGUGCACACACACUCCAGGUGGUCUUCUAACCUGACCAAGACCUCUUUCAGCUUGGGUUUCCUCCGCACAUACUCCACCUUGGCCACCUGAACGAAGGGAGGGAGAGAGGUUAACAACACUACCACAAUAACACCAUUUACGCUCGUUUAGGCUUUUUCUGUGUUCCCUUCAUUCACCUUUCACUCUUUCUCCAUUGGCUAACAUCAAGAGAGAUGGAUGAAUGAAAAGAAAGAAAGAGAAAGCCCUGCUCCCUCCUCCAUUUCUCCUUCUCUAACGCCUCUGGCGCAGCCACCGUCAUCUCCCUCUGUUUGAUGUAUGACAGGAGCAUUCCAUUGUGCUGAUGUGCAGCGUUCUAUGGCCUGGUGAUCAGGUGUGUCAAUAUUGAGCAGAGGCUCAAACGAUAGGGAGGGAGGAGGGAGUGACACGCACCAUGAGGCCCAGUGAAGGUUCACCCUGACUGGGGAGAGAUGUUAUUUUGAAUCUUUUUUCAAUUAUUAUUUAAUACAAAAAAAAAUAACAAAUCCCAGCAACUCCCGUACGGACUCGGGAGAGGCGAAGGUCAAGAGCCGUGCGUCCCCCGAAACAUGACCCAACCAAGCCUCACUGCUUCUUGACACAACGCCCGCUUAACCCGGAAGCCAGCCGCACCAAUGUGACGGAGGAAACGCCGUACACCUGGCAACAGUGUUAGAGUGCACUGCGCCCGGCCCGCCACAGGAGUCGCAAACCCUC
rnacentral:lncRNA from 1 species